rnacentral:rRNA from 1 species
CUAGCAUAUCAAUAAGCGGAGGAAAAGAAACCAACAGGGAUUGCCUCAGUAACGGCGAGUGAAGCGGCAACAGCUCAAAUUUGAAAUCUGGCCCCAGGCCCGAGUUGUAAUUUGCAGAGGAUGUUUCUGGCGAGGUGCCUUCCGAGUUCCCUGGAACGGGACGCCACAGAGGGUGAGAGCCCCGUCCGGUCGUGCGCUAAGCCUAUGUGAAACUCCUUCGACGAGUCGAGUAGUUUGGGAAUGCUGCUCUAAAUGGGAGGUAUACGUCUUCUAAAGCUAAAUACCGGCCAGAGACCGAUAGCGCACAAGUAGAGUGAUCGAAAGAUGAAAAGCACUUUGAAAAGAGGGUUAAAAAGUACGUGAAAUUGUUGAAAGGGAAGCGUUUAUGACCAGACUUGGGCCCGGUCAAUCAUCCAGCGUUGUCGCUGGUGCACUUGGCCGGCCCAGGCCAGCAUCAGUUCGCCCCGGGGGAUAAAGGCUUCGGGAACGUGGCUCCCUCGGGAGUGUUAUAGCCCGUUGCGCAAUAUCCUGGGGCGGACUGAGGUUCGCGCAUCUGCAAGGAUGCUGGCGUAAUGGUCAUCAACGACCCGUCUUGAAACACGGACCAAGGAGUCGUCUUCGUAUGCGAGUGUUCGGGUGUCAAACCCCUACGCGUAAUGAAAGUGAACGUAGGUGAGAGCUUCGGCGCAUCACCGACCGAUCCUGAUGUUCUCGGAUGGAUUUGAGUAAGAGCAUACGGGGCCGGACCCGAAAGAAGGUGAACUAUGCCUGUAUAGGGUGAAGCCAGAGGAAACUCUGGUGGAGGCUCGCAGCGGUUCUGACGUGCAAAUCGAUCGUCAAAUAUGGGCAUGGGGGCGAAAGACUAAUCGAACCUUCUAGUAGCUGGUUUCCGCGA